rnacentral:misc_RNA from 1 species
UUUCCGUAGGUGAACCUGCGGAAGGAUCAUUACCGAUUGAGGGCCUCUCAGGCCCCACUUCCCACCCUGUGUUGUCGGGACGUUGUUGCUCUGGCGGGGCCGGCUCGAUGAGGGGCCGCCGGACUCUCACCGCUUUGGGCCCGUUCCCGUCAGUCGCCUCCUUAAAUUCUUACUAUACCUUACGUAUGAGUUAAUGGAUAUAAUGAAAAAAAACUUUCAACAACGGAUCUCUUGGUUCUG